rnacentral:rRNA from 1 species
UACGUAGGUGGCAAGCGUUGUCCGGAUUUAUUGGGCGUAAAGCGCGCGCAGGUGGUUUCUUAAGUCUGAUGUGAAAGCCCACGGCUCAACCGUGGAAGGUCAUUGGAAACUGGGGAACUUGAGUGCAGAAGAGGAAAGUGGAAUUCCAAGUGUAGCGGUGAAAUGCGUAGAUAUUUGGAGGAACACCAGUGGCGAAGGCGACUUUCUGGUCUGUAACUGACACUGAGGCGCGAAAGCGUGGGGAGCAAACAGG